AACGAACGCUGGCGGCAUGCCUAACACAUGCAAGUCGAACGAGACCUUCGGGUCUAGUGGCGCACGGGUGCGUAACGCGUGGGAACCUGCCUUUAGGUUCGGAAUAACUCAGAGAAAUUUGAGCUAAUACCGGAUGAUGUCUUCGGACCAAAGAUUUAUCGCCUUUAGAUGGGCCCGCGUUGGAUUAGCUAGUUGGUGGGGUAAAGGCCUACCAAGGCGACGAUCCAUAGCUGGUCUGAGAGGAUGAUCAGCCACGCUGGGACUGAGACACGGCCCAGACUCCUACGGGAGGCAGCAGUGGGGAAUAUUGGACAAUGGGCGAAAGCCUGAUCCAGCAAUGCCGCGUGAGUGAUGAAGGCCUUAGGGUUGUAAAGCUCUUUUACCCGAGAUGAUAAUGACAGUAUCGGGAGAAUAAGCUCCGGCUAACUCCGU
rnacentral:rRNA from 1 species